rnacentral:lncRNA from 1 species
GAGGAGAGGAGAGGAGAGGAGAGGAGAGGAGAGGAGAGGAGAGGAGAGGAGAAUAUUAUACAUUCAAAUUUAGUGUUAAGGUCAACAAUGGAAAUUCCUGUCUUUGACUUAUUUUGUUCAGGACAUCUUUCAGAAUGAAGAUGAUGAAGGUCUAGUGGUAUGAUGACCAGAGAUGGGGAGAGUAACAGCUGGAAAGACAAAGACAAAACUCACCGUAUUCAUAUCAACUGUUCCUGUAACACCACCAUCAACUGAAGGAUUAGAAGAGGGAAAUGCCCUUGAAAAGGGGAACUGUGAAGAGACUAUUCCUGGAAAGCUGUAUCUGGGCAGUGAAAAGGAGCAAGUAGGCAUUAUCAGCUUCCAUCACCCAGUGAAGUUGUCUCCAGGCAAUGAUCAAAGGAAAUUGUGCAGCUGCCUUUUAAGUCUAUUACACAACAAGAAUUCCAGGAUUUUGAUUUCAUUUCAGAGAUUACCUAUUUUAACAUGCAUUUCUCACAUGGGAAAGAUGCAUUCAGGAACCCUACUAGCUUUGAAGAAACUGUUGCUGAGAGCUCUCUGAUGUCAACAGCGGGGCCAUGUUUUGAGUCAUCUGGCAACAUGGCUUUACAACUGCAAUUGCUGGAACAAUUGAAGCAGAAGCAAAAGACCACCAAAGGACAUACUGAUCUUUUGUUGACUUAAACCACUUGGGUAACAAGUCCCUGGUGUGAACCGGCACAGGUGUUUUCUCAGCCUAAAAAAUAUUCUACCUUUCUCAUUGAGUCACUCUCCCCUAUAGCACAUUCAUUGUGGAAAUUCACUUUUUUUUUUUUUUUCAGGAGUGGAAGCACAACAGUUCUUUCUAAUUCCUUGUUUCAUAUUCUAAACUCUAGUCUAGCUGAGAAAUUCUACUUUAGUUGCUAUUCUCUCUAUUAUAAUCACCACAAAUUACAAUUUUAUUUCACAAACAUAAAAUAAUGUCUUUAAUGUAUAACUAAGCUGAGAACUGCAGUAAAUUAAAAAAAAAGUUAUGAAAGCAAUGAUUUUAAAAAUGCAAAUUAGAUGUAUUAGCAUUAAUCCUCAGUUAUAUGGAAACAGUAAACUGAAAUGAUGACUGAUAUAAUUAAAUAAAAUAUAUCUUACAUCAUGUAGAUGGCUAUUU